CCUACGGGUGGCUGCAGUGGGGAAUAUUGGACAAUGGGGGCAACCCUGGUCCAGCCAUGCCGCGGGUGUGAAGAAGGCCCUCGGGUUGUAAAGCACUUUCAGUGAGGAAGAACGCCUGGUGGUUAAUACCCAUCAGGAAAGACAUCACUCACAGAAGAAGCACCGGCUAACUCCGUGCCAGCAGCCGCGGUAAUACGGAGGGUGCGAGCGUUAAUCGGAAUUACUGGGCGUAAAGCGCGCGUAGGUGGCUUGAUAAGCCGGUUGUGAAAGCCCCGGGCUCAACCUGGGAACGGCAUCCGGAACUGUCAAGCUAGAGUGCAGGAGAGGAAGGUAGAAUUCCCGGUGUAGCGGUGAAAUGCGUAGAGAUCGGGAGGAAUACCAGUGGCGAAGGCGGCCUUCUGGACUGACACUGACACUGAGGUGCGAAAGCGUGGGUAGCAAACAGGAUUAGAUACCCCUGUAGUC
rnacentral:rRNA from 1 species